rnacentral:lncRNA from 1 species
AGCUCAGUCCAUUUUUAAGGCAUACUGUUCUGAAGAGAACAUUUAAUGUAACUCUGCCAAAUUCUUUCUUGAUUGAUAGAGAAAUCACUCCUACUCUAGAACAAAAAGCCAAACAAAAACACCAAGGAGGCAAAAUAUAAUCUACUAAAUGAUAUAGUCCAAAGGUAAUAUCUAUUAAUAUAAACGUAAGCUGACAGUUCUCUCACAAAG